CUCUGCUGUGUCGGGUAUACUUGGGCCCAAGCUCGAGCUUGUAAAUAAACCCUUGUGCAUUUGCAUCGGUAUCGGCUCCUUGGUGGUCUCUCGGAUUUGAAAUCGGGGGCAUUACAGAACUGUCUUCUUGACUUCAUUUCCAUAUGCCGUCUUCUGUGUCUUUGUGUCUUCACACGAAAUCUAUCUUGAAUAAAUCUUUCUCCUAUUAACCUGUGACUUUCGGUUUCAUUUUCAGACACAGCCAGGAACCACAAAAGAGUCAAGGAAUACUUUCUUCCACCUACAAGGGCCAGAGUGACCACCGCUGUAGCCCAGGGCUUCCCAAAUUUCUUGUGCACAGGUAUCUCCCUGGGAUCUGGGGCAGAUUCAGAUUCUAAUUCAGGAGAUCAGAGCUGGGCGCAGAGAAUGUGUUCCUAACAGGCGUCCAGGGGCGAGGUGGACACAGAUGAAGGAUAUGCAGGACUGAAGAAGGAAGCGGAGCCCAAAACAGGUGUAAGUAGAUGGGCUCCCCAAGGCCCAACCAAUCUCCCACGCCUUCCCAGGGCACAGACCCUGAGCAUGACACUCCCUUCCCCGCACACGUGGCAGGAUCUGGUUCACUUCCCGCCGUAGCGUCACAGGUCCAUGGACACCACCUUCUCUGUACACAGGAGGGCCUAGCUCACUUCCUGCCCCGACGUCACACGGCCCCUGGACACGGCCCUCCCCGCACAAGGGGCAGGACCCCGCUCACUUCCCGCCCUGACGUCACACGUCCCCGGACACGGCCCUCCCCGCACACGGGGCAGUAUGCCACUCACUUCCUGCGUGACGUCACAGGACCCUGGACACCACCCUCCUGCAUAAGGGGCGGGACCCUGUGUACUUCCCACCGUGACGUCACAGGACCCUGGACACUACCGUCCCUGCAUAAGGGGCGGGACCCUGUGCACUUCCUGCCGUGAUGUCACAGGACCCUGGACAUUCCAGGGUAUCCUGGAGACCAAGGUCUUCAGGGCAUGCCGGAGGGAACAUGGCAGGAGACAGAGGAGUGACCCUGUUUGUCCUGCUGCUGUCCUGCUGGCGCCACGCGGAGCCCCAGCCCAUCAACACGAUUUCAGGUCCACAUACAGUACUGCCACCAAAUUUAAAAAAUUUUGAUGACAACGUGGCUGCACUAUUUGAUGAAAUUCUAGUCCAAGAGAUAUUGGAUCCAAGUAAUUCAUCAUUGCUUAUGACACAAAGACCACUACCAAAAUCAACAACGAUUAUGAAGAAAAAAAGCAAAAACCUAUACUCAAACGGAUUAUAAGAUGGAUAUUAAUAAGAAGCAUCAUAAAAAGAAAUUCUCUUCUGGGAAAGAAAAAAGGCCUUUCUUUGAUGGUAAAUGCAACCCGGUAAUGCCCCUGCCUUAAGAGAAGGUGGUGGGGAGGACAGAGGAGCCAGGCAGAUGUACACGGGGACGUCCCCGUCACGGAGGAUGAAAGCGUGGCUGGGGAGAGCUUAAGGCUGCUUCACCCCAGUGGGGCUGAUUUCCCGUCUCCAUUGAGGAACCGCCUGCCCACCACCCCUGCCCGUGGUCCUGACCCUGGCGAAGCAGAGCCUGGCAGGAAGGUCCCGGCAGGCAGGUGGCCACUAGCCGGGAGGAAGGGCCGCCACACUGCCCGCCCCUCCCACACGUCAGCUGGGUACCUGCCCCUCCCUGGGGGUCAGGGGCUGGGCAGGGAGAGCCAGUGUCGCCCCCCCCACCAGGGAGGUUCCCCCGGAGUGAGGGAAAGUGUCCCUCCAACGGCCACGGUUGCUGAAAUGAACUCCAGUGUUCAGGCACUGAGGCUGAGGAGCUAGCCCCCCACGGGGUGACAGAUCUUUUCCUCACCCUAAAGAUGACGCAAAAGAAAGGUGCCCAUGUAGCUCGCGGGAUGCCUGGCCCGUGAAGGGUUGUGGCGGGCCCUAGAGGAGGGACCAGGUCCUGCGUACCAGGCACAGUGGAGUGGAGCUGAGCAUGUCUGCAGGCCGGGCCCUGGAACCUACAUUUCAGUCCAUUCCACAGAGACUCUUCCCCAGGGAGCCAGCCUCUGGUGUUUGGAAGGAUAGAACAAGAGUAGGAUUUUCAUGGCAAGGAACAUUUCUAGCCCCUCUGGGGUUGUCCCGCCCACUGAAUGACUCAAAGUGCCUAAUGGGCAUGAAUACAGCCAGAAGCCUUUGUUGCAGGGGGGCUGCAGAUAGGAGAAGUUAAGGAAGGGUCUAUACUGAAGGAUGGGUGUGUCUCCACUGAAGGACCACCGUGACCCGGAGCGGCUUCAGGGACACACUCUCCCUGCAUCACACCCAUCAGACUCACUGGAGAAGCAGGAGGAAAUAAGAAUGGACAGGAAAACCUGAGCCAGUGAGAAUGAGAGCCAGGGGGAAGGGACUGAGUCUGGGGUCAGUGCAUCAGAGAAGCCACCAGCCCUCCAGGGUCCUGGGGCCCAGGCCCACCCUCAGAGAGACCAUGCAAUUCCCAGACUCAUGGUGCAUGCAUGGACAGCUGCAGACGACGCUGCAGGCCACCCCUGUGCCCAUCCCGGGCUGCACCCUGAAACUCGCCUGAGGGCUCGGCAGAGAACCCCACCCUCCCCACACCGCCCCUCUGCUGCUGGGACUCCCCCCAGCCUUCCCCGGGUUCCAGGCAAAUGCCACCGUUUAACAUAAAGGCCUCCUCCCUGUGUCAGCAACAGCUUCGUGCGGCAGAAGUUGUCUGUGCCCCCCUUAGCUCGAGAGUGCUGUUCCGAUGGAGAAACUGAGGCACGGCUCGGCUCAGGGACUGCCCGUAUCAGGUGGCAGGCUGGAGGUAGAUUGGGAGCCAGCCCCAGGCAGGACUGACUGAGGGGGCAAGAAGGCGUGGUCCCGGACCUGCUGGUCAGCCUGGGAGGGACAUUUCCACUGGGUGCAGAAGAGUCUCUGAGCCAGCCAUCCCUGGAGGAGCACCAUCCUCUUUGGGGUGGGGGGACACCAUAGCUGUCUCCCCUCACCUACCCCCACCACCCCGGACCUAAGGCGCCCUCACUACCCACCCAGGGGACAAGACCCAAACCGCUGAGCACACGGAGCGCCACGUUCUCAGCAAACUUAAUGAUGGUCCACCUCAAUAAAGAUCUCUGUUUGCAAACUGGUGCAGACGGGCAGACUGUCUCUGGCGACUUGUACAGGAAGGCAGGUGCUGCCGUGGCGUGUGUGGGAGCGAGGCUCAUGUGUCUGGUAACAGGAAAGCGACGGGAUGAGAAAUGUGCAGGAUGCAACGUCUAAAACGGCUCCAUUGUGAAACCAGUUUAGAUUUACAACCUAGGAAAGUGGUAGAAAGAGUUUCCCGUGUUCCUUCCACCCAGCUUUCCCCAGUGGUAACAUCUUAUGUAACUCGAGUACAAUUACUAAAACCGGGAAGUCCACGCUGAUGCAGUCCUGCCCGGUAACCUACAGACCUGGUCCAAAUUUUGUCAAUUAUCUUCCCAAUGCCAUUUUUUGGCUCCAGGAUCCAUUCAGAUUCCUCAUGGCAGCUACCGGUGACGUCACAUCUGUCGUUCCCGCCUGGGGGGUUACCCGGUCUCUGUCUUUCAUGACUUUGGGGAGUACUGGCCAGCUACUUAAUACAAUCUCUUUCAAUUUGGGUUUGUCUGAAUUCUCCCCACGACUAGAUUCAGGUUGCCUUUGGGGCAAGAAUGUUAAAGAAGUGAUGCUAUGUCUUCCUUCGUGCGUCCCAUGAGGAUGUGCAUGAUGUAGACUAUCUCAUUACCCGGAGUGGGGGGUGUUCACUUUGAUCACUUAUUCAAAGUACUGUAUACCUGGUGUCUCCAUAAUCAACUUGAUUUUUUUUCCAUGUGUAAACAAUUAGUAUUUUGGGGGGAGAUACUUUCAGACUGUAAAAAUACCCUGCUUUUCACCAUAUUUCCACCACUAAUUUAGCAUCCAUUGUUCCUUUUUAAAAAUUAUUUAUUUUGAGAGAGAGAGAGCACACACUAAUGCAUACAUGCGUGUGGACGGGGGAGGGAGAGAGAGAGAGAAUCCCAAGCAGGUUCCAUCCUCCGAGCAGAGCCCAACAUGGGGCUCAAUCCCAUGAAACAUGAGAUCAUGACAUGAGCCAAAAUCAAGAGGCAGCCAUUGAACCGACUGAACCCCCCAGGCGCCCCAGCAUCCAUCACCUCUUAACUGCAAGAAUUAUCACUAUAGUAUUUGCCAAAAGGUGAUUUUCUAGUUCUACUAUUCCUUCUACAUUCGAAAGGAAGAGCUGUACUUUCUUAAAAGGACUUUAUCUACUUGUUGAUUCCAUUAUGUUUAGAUCUGUGUAACAUACUGGUCUUUACUUUAUUCAAUGGGUUACAAACCACUACUAUUGUGCAUUUUGUUUCUUUGGUUUUCUUAUUUGGAGCUCGACACAUUGGCAUUGCUCUUGCACACUUUCCCUGCCCCAGCCCCGGGAGCAGCCAAGUCUGCACAGAGCCCUGCUCCCCCAUGCUGGAGAGGGGUAGUUAGAAGCCAAAGUCAGGGUUGGAUGUUUGCUGCUCUGGUGGGGUGUUGUUUCCAGGCCCCCCAGUGGACAGAGCCAAGACAGAUGUGUGUGGGCACAUAUCUGUGUUUCCACACCUAUCUGCUCAGAUGUUGGGCAUCCUGAAUUCAGACUCAUUCCGCUGGUCCCAGACCUGCCCGUGAGGCUCAUCCUACCUCCUUCCUUUUGUCUGUGAGAAUCCUGGGCCUCCUGUCCCACCAGAGUCCGUGCAUUUGCUCAGUCCCAGAAAACACAGAAGUAGCCCAAGAAUUGCUGGUGUAGCCCCACCCUGCGAAAAACAGAUUUACUAACUAGCAGGCAAGAUUUGUAUACUGCCUUUCAUGUUAAGCCUUAGAAUAUGUCGUCAGGUACUUCCUUCCAAACUUCCUCGUCAGGCUCUUUUCUUCCUGCCCUCCUAGUUACUGACUUGUACUAUUCUGCUUUGGGUCCCUUUUCAUUGUGGUUGAUGUCACUUCCUUCUUUGGAAGUAUAUAGCCAUGAUUCUAACACAAAAAGUCUUGCAUCUAAGAAUUCCACUUCCGCUGUGCCCCUAACAUUGGUGCCACCCCGCUUCUGUCCACCCGCUGCCUCACGUCCCACAGAGACCAGCCUCAUCAUUUCCUGCCUUAUCCUUCCCGUGCUUCCUUGGGCACAAAUGAGCAGGUACAUGUAUAUGACCCUUUUUUGGUACAAGAUUACUCAGUUUACUGUUUUAUAUCGUAUGUCUUCUUAAAUGUUUUAAGCCACUUCACUGAGGUCUGAUCGUGUGUAUUUUCUUAUAACUCUUUUUCUGUGCGUGAAAGGUAGCACAGUAUGGAUAUCUGGCACUUCCCUCUCUUAACCUAACAAUCUGUGCUAUAAAUUAUUCCACCUCUGUUUACAGAAGCUUCCUCAUUCCUGGUUUUUACACUUGUCUAGAUCUGCAUCGUGUGGACAGAGUACAGCUUAUCCAACCGCUCUCCUGCCCGUGGGCUUUCAGGUUGUUUCCAACACUUCGCCAACAGUGCUGCAGUGGGUACGCUUCGCACAUGUCUUUUCAUGUUGUUGGAUGUGCAUCUUCAGGGUAGACGUCUACACAUGGUCUGCUGAGUGAAAUCAGGAAUGUGUAUGUGGUCACAUAUGAACCACCAAUAACCCCCAGGAGGCUGUGCCCGUUUGUGCUCCCACCGGCGGUGUGUGUGAGGGCCUGUUCCCCUGCAGCCUUGGUGACACAGAGAGCCGAAGUCAAAAGGCGACCAGGUGGGCUGAAUUCCCACAAGGGAUGAGCAUCUCCAUGGAGGGACGGGACACAGGUCCGUGUCAGCUUUGACGGAGCAUGGAAAAGACAGGUGGCCACCAUGCAAGUGGGUAAGAAGAAAUCAGCCAAUGUUUUGCUAAUUCUUAAAGGCCAAGUGUGGGCUGUAGGUCAGUUUUGCGUAGCUGGGCCCCAGACUCAGGAUCUUAAUUCUGUUCUUCAGCUCUUUUCCACAGGGCUCACCUGGGACAGGGAGCGGGACAGGAGACCAGAGCAAGCGCUUGCUCUGGGGGCAGGUGGAGGUGUGUAUGUGAUGACCGGCUUCUGCUGGGGGCCACACGGAAAUGAACUAGAAACUGUCUUGGACCCCUGACUCACACCGAUACUAUAGGAAAGAGGAGAAAGAGACACUUUAUCAGAUUAAAAACCUAGAAGUUCUGGAAAAAAUCAUUGACAACCUUCGAAGAGCUUUAGGCAACACUCUCAAGCAAAGACUGCAGAAGCACAGGCGUUUGUUCAAAGGAGCCAAACACCACAAGGGGAAAUGGAGCCGGAACUGAGAAGCCAAGACCGCCUGAGGGGACAUCCACUCACCCCGCCACUAGGAGGAAAAAUAAAAUAGAAUCACUAUUUUCUAUAAAGAAGAAUCUCUUUAUUCAAGGAGUGCCAAAUAAAAUGAACACAUUUAAAUAUUAA